rnacentral:rRNA from 1 species
CUGAGGUCAGGCAAGAACACCCGCUGAACUUAAGCAUAUCAAUAAGCGGAGGAAAAGAAACCAACAGGGAUUGCCUCAGUAACGGCGAGUGAAGCGGCAACAGCUCAAAUUUGAAAUCUGGCCUCUUUAGGGGUCCGAGUUGUAAUUUGUAGAGGAUGUUUCGGGUACCGCUCCGGUCUAAAUUUCUUGGAACAGAAUGUCAAAGAGGGUGAGAAUCCCGUCUUGGACCGGCGGUAGGGCCCAUGUGAAACUCCUUCGACGAGUCGAGUUGUUUGGGAAUGCAGCUCAAAAUGGGUGGUAAAUUUCAUCUAAAGCUAAAUAUUGGCCAGAGACCGAUAGCGCACAAGUAGAGUGAUCGAAAGAUGAAAAGCACUUUGAAAAGAGAGUUAAACAGUAUGUGAAAUUGUUGAAAGGGAAGCGCUUGCAACCAGACUUGAGCGCGGCGGUUCCCCCUU